rnacentral:rRNA from 1 species
GGGCCCGCACAAGCGGCGGAGCAUGCGGAUUAAUUCGAUGCAACGCGAAGAACCUUACCAAGGCUUGACAUACGCAGAAAACCGGCAGAGAUGUCGGGUCCGUAAGGGCUGUGUACAGGUGGUGCAUGGUUGUCGUCAGCUCGUGUCGUGAGAUGUUGGGUUAAGUCCCGCAACGAGCGCAACCCUCGUUCCAUGUUGCCAGCACGUAAUGGUGGGGACUCAUGGGAGACUGCCGGGGUCAACUCGGAGGAAGGUGGGGAUGACGUCAAAUCAUCAUGCCCCUUAUGUCUUGGGCUUCACGCAUGCUACAAUGGCCAGUACAAAGGGCUGCGAGACCGUAAGGUGGAGCGAAUCCCAAAAAGCUGGUCUCAGUUCGGAUCGGGGUCUGCAACUCGACCCCGUGAAGUCGGAGUCGCUAGUAAUCGCAGAUCAGCAACGCUGCGGUGAAUACGUUCCCGGGCCUU